GGAAAUGGUUUUCCCCUGGAGUUGAGCCACUAGGUGGCCCUGGCUCUCUUCUGAUUGCCCCAGCCAAACUCCACCUCGCCCUGACAGUUGAUGACCUGCUGGCGUGCCCGCGUCUAUUGGUGUGAACUUCCGCUGGCGUGCUCCCUUCCACGUCCUCUUGACGUCCAGUCUCUUGUCUUUUUCCACCAAUGUGUUCCUCUCACCAUCCAGCAGCUUCUGUCUCUGCCUUGCUAGGGUCUAGGUUUUUUUUUUAUAUACUUAAAUUUUAGCGUACAUGUGCACAACAGGGAUAGCAUUAGGAGAUAUACAUAAUGUUAAAUGAUGGGUCUAGGGUUUUUAUAGGCCUAGGAUGGAGGCAUGGCGGGCCAGGGUGGUCUUGGAAAAUGCAACAUUUGGGUGCGAAUGCAGAAGUGCCUGUCCUCACCUAGGUCCUAGCCAAGGACCACGCCUCCUCUACCCACACUUCCCUUCCUCCCUUCUGUAUCAUUUAAAGAGACCACGCUCUUCCCUUCCCAGCAGUCGUGUAUCAAUAGUAUGUCUUCCAAGUUAUCCAUUUUGACAUUUUACAAAAUAUCCCAAACAUUGAAAACACAGGUUGCUCUCUUUCCCCAAAUUCCUGUUUCCUUCCUAGCCAACAACAAAAGAAAUGAUAGAUAUUUUUGGCUUUUCAUUUGAGCUGCCCCUUACUUUCAAUAUCAGUUUUACUAUUAGUCAAGUGUGCUGCAAUAAUAAACAACUUCAACUUCUCAGUGGUUUACUACAUCAAAUAUUUAUUUCUUGUUCAUGUUAUAUAAGAGCUGCUGGUUGGCUGGGGCUCUGCUCCAGCUGGGGUUCCACACCACAUACUUCUUAUUCAAAUCCAGGUUGAAGGAGUAGUCCCAAUAUGGCACUUGCCCAUUUUGUAGCUUGUACUAUGUAUCUUUGUUAAAGCUGGGAAAUCUUUUCUAGAUUCAAUGCCCUUCCCUCUAAAGUUCCAUGUUAGAGCUGGCCAGAGGAAUAUUUGGAAGAAGUGAAGCAGUGGUCAUUACUCUCUGAAGGUUAUCAAAAUAA
rnacentral:lncRNA from 1 species